rnacentral:rRNA from 1 species
CAGCAGUGGGGAAUAUUGGACAAUGGGCGAAAGCCUGAUCCAGCCAUGCCGCGUGAGUGAAGAAGGCCUUAGGGGUUGUAAAACUCUUUCAAACUGUGAGGAUGAUGACAGUAGCAGUAGAAGAAGCACCGGCUAACUUCGUGCCAGCAGCCGCGGUAAUACGAAGGGUGCGAGCGUUGUUCGGAAUUACUGGGCGUAAAGGGCGUGUAGGCGGAUUGGCAAGAUAGAGGUGAAAGGCCUGGGCUCAACCUGGGAACUGCCUUUAUAACUUCCAGUCUAGAGAUCGAGAGAGGAUAGCGGAAUUCCUAGUGUAGAGGUGAAAUUCGUAGAUAUUAGGAAGAACACCAGUGGCGAAGGCGGCUAUCUGGCUCGAUACUGACGCUGAGGCGCGAAAGCGUGGGGAGCAAACAGGAUUAGAUACCCUGGUAG